GAAGAGCCGUCAGUUCCUUGAUCGAACAGCUCGACUAUAAAAAGGGAGUGCUGUUUUCAUCCGCAUAUGAGUAUCCGGGACGGUAUACUCGUUGGACGAUGGGGUUCA
rnacentral:rRNA from 1 species